CCCCAUUCCUAACUCUUUAAAUAUUUAAUUUCCUUUCGGUCAGUGAUCAUGACUCCUUUCCGUACACAUUUAUCGGUUUAAAUUUCGAUCAUUUUUAAUAUAAUACACUUUAUUGACAGAACGAGCUAAUACUCGACGUAUUGUUUUAAUUCAGAAUUCACGGAAGUUACUUCCAGAAGGGAGACAAUUGGAAACAAUAAUAUGGAAGACUCCAUUUUGCCUGAAGGGGUGUUCUACGAUGUGGACUAUAUUUAUUUUCAUUUAAAUGAUGCAUAUGAUUUAAAAUUAUGCAACAAUAAUAACCUUCAAUAGCAGACAUACAUAGAAAAGAUCCCAUGAGUUUAAAAUUAAUUAAUUGAGUGGGGAAUCCAGAGCAACCAUUCAAUCGAAAACCCCUCAAAGUCAAGAAAACUAUACGCAUGCGCAUAAUUUCCAAAAAAAAACCUGGAGCAAGAACGUAUAUUAAAUGUUUAUUAAACGACCUAGAUAGUUCUCUAUUUCUUUAUGGAAGUACAAUCUCAAAUAUCAGUUUCAUAAAGGUAAAAUAUAAGAAAAACUCCACUUCAGUUCUUAUAUGACAGAAAUAGAUUUAUCGGAAUUCAGAGAACUCUCGCAUUUUAUCAAACUGGGAAUUCCCUCUAACGUGUUUCUAAAUUUAGAAAAACACUAAAUAUAAAUACUGCGUAAUUCUGAUUUUCCGUGUUGUUAAAAACACGCAUAUAAGUCAAGGGAAUUAUCAAACAUGAAGAUUAUGAAAAGAACAUUAUAGGAAAGUUGUUAAAGUUCAAUCCCUUUGUUUGUUUUUACCUUUAAAGCAAGACAAUCAUAAGAAUCUGAGAUGUUCCUUAAUGUUUAGAAUAAAACGAUUGACGUGAGGGCAAUGCUCUGAGCCACCAGUAUAAGUCUACAGAUUGCUUGAAAGCAAUCGUAUCCCAAAAAU
rnacentral:lncRNA from 1 species